UUUAUGGAGAGUUUGAUCCUGGCUCAGGAUGAACGCUGGCGGCGUGCCUAAUACAUGCAAGUCGAGCGAACAGAUAAGGAGCUUGCUCCUUUGACGUUAGCGGCGGACGGGUGAGUAACACGUGGGUAACCUACCUAUAAGACUGGAAUAACUCCGGGAAACCGGGGCUAAUGCCGGAUAACAUGUUGAACCGCAUGGUUCUACAGUGAAAGACGGUCUUGCUGUCACUUAUAGAUGGACCCGCGCCGUAUUAGCUAGUUGGUGGGGUAACGGCCUACCAAGGCGACGAUACGUAGCCGACCUGAGAGGGUGAUCGGCCACACUGGAACUGAGACACGGUCCAGACUCCUACGGGAGGCAGCAGUAGGGAAUCUUCCGCAAUGGGCGAAAGCCUGACGGAGCAACGCCGCGUGAGUGAUGAAGGUCUUCGGAUCGUAAAGCUCUGUUGUUAGGGAAGAACAAAUGUGUAAGUAACUGUGCACAUCUUGACGGUACCUAACCAGAAAGCCACGGCUAACUACGUGCCAGCAGCCGCGGUAAUACGUAGGUGGCAAGCGUUAUCCGGAAUUAUUGGGCGUAAAGCGCGCGUAGGCGGUUUUUUAAGUCUGAUGUGAAAGCCCACGGCUCAACCGUGGAGGGUCAUUGGAAACUGGAAAACUUGAGUGCAGAAGAGGAAAGUGGAAUUCCAUGUGUAGCGGUGAAAUGCGCAGAGAUAUGGAGGAACACCAGUGGCGAAGGCGGCUUUCUGGUCUGCAACUGACGCUGAUGUGCGAAAGCGUGGGGAUCAAACAGGAUUAGAUACCCUGGUAGUCCACGCCGUAAACGAUGAGUGCUAAGUGUUAGGGGGUUUCCGCCCCUUAGUGCUGCAGCUAACGCAUUAAGCACUCCGCCUGGGGAGUACGGUCGCAAGACUGAAACUCAAAGGAAUUGACGGGGACCCGCACAAGCGGUGGAGCAUGUGGUUUAAUUCGAAGCAACGCGAAGAACCUUACCAAAUCUUGACAUCCUUUGACCGCUCUAGAGAUAGAGUUUUCCUCUUCGGAGGACAAAGUGACAGGUGGUGCAUGGUUGUCGUCAGCUCGUGUCGUGAGAUGUUGGGUUAAGUCCCGCAACGAGCGCAACCCUUGAACUUAGUUGCCAUCAUUCAGUUGGGCACUCUAAGUUGACUGCCGGUGACAAACCGGAGGAAGGUGGGGAUGACGUCAAAUCAUCAUGCCCCUUAUGAUUUGGGCUACACACGUGCUACAAUGGACAAUACAA
rnacentral:rRNA from 1 species